rnacentral:rRNA from 1 species
GAUGAACGCUAGCGAUAGGCUUAACACAUGCAAGUCGAGGGGCAGCACAAGGUAGCUUGCUAUCUGGGUGGCGACCGGCGCACGUGUGCGUAACGCGUAUGCAACUUGCCCUAUACAGGAGGAUAACCCGUCGAAAGACGGACUAAUACUGCGUAUGCUCACAACUUGGCAUCAAGUGGUGAGGAAAGAAAUUCGGUAUAGGAUAGGCAUGCGUCCCAUUAGCUUGUUGGUGAGGUAACGGCUCACCAAGGCAACGAUGGGUAGGGGAACUGAGAGGUUUAUCCCCCACACUGGUACUGAGACACGGACCAGACUCCUACGGGAGGCAGCAGUGAGGAAUAUUGGUCAAUGGGCGCGAGCCUGAACCAGCCAAGUCGCGUGAAGGAUGACUGUCUUAUGGAUUGUAAUCUUCUUUAUACGGGAAUAACAAGAGUCACGUGUGACUCCCUGAAUGUACCGUAUGAAUAAGCAUCGGCUAACUCCGUG